UACGAAGGGGGCUAGCGUUGCUCGGAAUCACUGGGCGUAACGCGCACGUAGGCGGCUUGUUAAGUCAGGGGUGAAAUCCUGGAGCUCAACUCCAGAACUGCCUUUGAUACUGGCGAGCUUGAGUCCGGGAGAGGUGAGUGGAACUGCGAGUGUAGAGGUGAAAUUCGUAGAUAUUCGCAAGAACACCAGUGGCGAAGGCGGCUCACUGGCCCGGUACUGACGCUGAGGUGCGAAAGCGUGGGGAGCAAACAGG
rnacentral:rRNA from 1 species